UUGGCUCACAAGGUCAUUUUCGUCAUUUUUCUUCAAAGAUACGGAAACCCACCAAAAACAUGGUGUAAAAGAUAAAUAUGUUCAUACAUACUUUAAAUCAGAUAACUGAAGUAUAAAAUUACUUUUACAGUGACACGUGGGCCCCCAACUGACCAAAAAGGUGUAAGGCUACAAACCCUUACUUUCUAGGAUGUAACUCCGAGAUUAAUUCUCGUCUUAAUCAACUAUCAACAAGCUGUCCUGAGCCUGAAAAAUGGAUAGGAAGAGGGGUGAGAUUAUGAUUACAUAAUCCUAGUGAGUAAACAGACACCAUCUAAACUAUCUAAAGGCGAGUAAAUGGAGACGAAUUAAAAUAUUAUUUUCCAAUAUAUGUUUCAUAACAUGAAUAUUCAGUUUACUCAAUUAAUCAACAUGGCUUAUAUAUCUCACAAAACUUGACUCCUGCCAAAAUCAUUCUCACGGGUACCUUCGUCAAGGUAUCCCAUUGAGACCACCAAGGCUGUUAAAAAUUCAUAUCUCGCAUAAAACACAUUUUUCAUUGAACAUCACAACUGUUCCUUGGCGUUGGCUGAGUCUCACUCUCAUGUGGUGGUUAACGUGAAGUGCACUCAAAAAGCCCACCUCAGGAGAUACCCUACGCGCCUCUACGACUGAGGUGAGAAUAUAAAGGAGUUUACCGUGCCCCUCUAAUAGGCUGGUCCACGAAACCCCCCACCACUGCAGUGACUAUGGAUUAUUUUAUCUACCACUUGAUUUAUAAAAUCCUUAUCUGCAUGACAUGACAAUUUAUUGCAAUCUAGCCUCUCAAGGCUGAAUACAUAGUAUAUAUAUAAUUUUGAUACAAAUACCGACUUUACCAUUCAUGCUCACAUAUUGUUAUAAGCCAUAUAAUUUAAAACACAAUUUAUAACACAAACAGGCAGUCUCCAAUUACUCUAUUUUCAAAACCAGUAUACAAUUUUCCAGAAAAUUUAUAAAAUCACAAUUUCUCCUAAAACAUAACAAUUUACCAUUUAAACCCAUUUUCUAUAAAAUCACACAAUUGUAUAAAACUACUCUAGAUAAUUAAGACGAUAAUAAGUUUACUCACAGUAUUAGGAGUAGAAAUACUCUUAUUUUCAGUCCGCGGGUACAAUCCUUUACCCGUAUCCAAUGGCUCACCACCUAGCCAUAAUCCAUGACACAUAUUCCAAUUAAAUUGUGUCUAACAGUCAUAAGCUAUUUUAGGCUCGAUAUAUAUGCAUGAUACGAAAUGAAAAAUGCACGGGUAGCCAUCUAGACUCGGUAUUGGCCUAAGUCGAUUUUUCAUCCGAUAAAUUGACCAAUGCGUCCAAUUUCACUCCAACUUGCUCCAUUUCUUUUCCAAUCCCUCAAUUCACCAAGCACAACUAAUUAACACACAAUUAGGCAAAAUUUAUCUUCACUUUUCUUCUUGGAACUUUCGGCCAACAAUGGUACACUAACUCCGUGAUUUUUCUAACUUAAUUUUCUCUCCAUAAUUCAUUAAUUCCUACACCAAAAACUAUUAUUUCUUAAUCAAAUCACCUAGAAUAACAUCCCAUUCUUCCUCAUUAUUCACUUAGAGAAUUCGACUAUUGAUGGGUUCCAAACCUUUGGUGGUUUUCUUCACUUGUUUCCAUGCUACACAUCAUUAAUCACCUAAAAACACUAACAUACCUAAAAAUCAAACCAAUCCAAGAUCAUUCUCUCUCUGUACCCAUUUUGACCAGCCAUGAAUUCAUCAUGAAAACAUGUAAUUUAACCAUGGAAAUUAAGGGAAAAUGCAUGGGUAAGGUAAAUCACUAGCAAAAUCAAAGAAAUUUUACCUUUGCUUGAUCAAAUCCUUGAAUUCCAACACUUUCUCUUUGAUUUUUCCCACCUAGGGUUUGUUCUUCUUU
rnacentral:lncRNA from 1 species